rnacentral:lncRNA from 1 species
UGACCUCGUGAUCCGCCCGCCUCGGCCUCCCAAAGUGCUGGAAUUACAGGCGUGAGCCACUGCGCCCGGCCGAGAAACCUAUUUUUGAUGUUUAUAUUUGGAUACUUGCUCUUGGAGCCCACCUGCCCUGCUGGGAGGUGCUGGGAACACCUGGAGAGCCAUGUGCAGCUGUGUGGCCAGCAAUCCCAGCUUUGUUCCCAGCCAGCUGCCAGACCUGGGAGUGAGGAAGCCUUCCAGAAGACCCCAGCCUAGUCCCCAUCUGACAGCGACCUCAUGAGAUAUCCUGAGUGAGAUCUACCCAGCCGAGCCCAAUAAACCCAUGAAAACAUCA